rnacentral:rRNA from 1 species
UACUAGAGUAGCACUCGCAUAUCAAUAAGCGGAGGAAAAGAAACUAACAAGGAUUCCCCUAGUAACGGCGAGUGAAGCGGGAAGAGCUCAAAUUUGAAAUCUUAAAGGGUUUCCCUUUACGAAUUGUAGUUUAAAGAAGUGUUUUCUGUUGAGGUUUUGGUAAAAGUUCUUUGGAAUAGGACAUCAUAGAGGGUGAGAAUCCCGUAUUUGACCUUUACUUUCAACUUUGUGAUACACUUUCAAAGAGUCGGAUUGUUUGGGAAUGCAGUCCAAAAUGGGUGGUAAAUUUCAUCUAAAGCUAAAUAUUGGCGAGAGACCGAUAGCGAACAAGUACCGUGAGGGAAAGAUGAAAAGAACUUUGAAAAGAGAGUUAAACAGUACGUGAAAUUGUCAAAAGGGAAGCGUUUGACACCAGUGUUGUUUUUCUGAAAAUCAAUUAAAGAACUGUUUAUGCUAAGUUGUUUAGACUUUAUCAGCUAACUGUUUAGUUUUGAGCUUUUCUUUAAUGCACUUUUCAGUUAACAAGUCAACAUCAAUUUCUUUUGCUGUAAAAAAGCUUGAGGAAGGUGGCUUGAGAUUCGUCUUAAGUGUUUAUAGCCUCUUGCCUAUGCAGUCGGAGAGAUUGAGGUCUGCAGCGUAGAUCCUUCGGGGCUAAAUGCAUUUGUGCUAAGUUAUAGCAUUUUAUAGGACAACUUGUUGACUAUGAUUUGUCUUGUAGCUUACUCGCUUAUGUUAUUUUACCUACGCUUAGGAUGUUGAGCGCAUGUCUCUCUCU